rnacentral:rRNA from 1 species
AUUGAACGCUGGCGGCAGGCCUAACACAUGCAAGUCGAGCGAGCGGCGGACGGGUGAGUAAUGUCUGGGAAACUGCCUGAUGGAGGGGGAUCACUACUGGAAAAGGUAGCUAAUACCGCAUACCAUCAGAUGUGCCCAGAUGGGCUUAGCUAGUGGGUGGGGUAACGGCUCACCUAGGCGACGAUCCCUAGCUGGUCUGAGAGGAUGACCAGCCACACGGGAACUGAGACACGGUCCAAACGCCUACGGGGGUCAGCAGGGGGGAAUAUUGCACAAUGGGCGAAAGCCUGAUGCAGACAGGCCGCGUGUGUGAAGAAGGCCUUCGGGUUGUAAAGCACUUGCAGCGGGGAGGCGUUACCCGCAGAAGAAGCACCGGCUAACUCCGUGCCAGCAGCCGCGGUAAUUC